GACGAACGCUGGCGGCGUGCUUAACACAUGCAAGUCGAACGGAAAGGCCCUGCUUUUGUGGGGUGCUCGAGUGGCGAACGGGUGAGUAACACGUGAGUAACCUGCCCUUGACUUCGGGAUAACUUCAGGAAACUGGGGCUAAUACCGGAUAGGAGCUCCUGCUGCAUGGUGGGGGUUGGAAAGUUUCGGCGGUUGGGGAUGGACUCGCGGCUUAUCAGCUUGUUGGUGGGGUAGUGGCUUACCAAGGCUUUGACGGGUAGCCGGCCUGAGAGGGUGACCGGCCACAUUGGGACUGAGAUACGGCCCAGACUCCUACGGGAGGCAGCAGUGGGGAAUAUUGCACAAUGGGCGGAGGCCUGAUGCAGCAACGCCGCGUGCGGGAUGACGGCCUUCGGGUUGUAAACCGCUUUCGCCUGUGACGAAGCGUGAGUGACGGUAAUGGGUAAAGAAGCACCGGCUAACUACGUG
rnacentral:rRNA from 1 species